rnacentral:rRNA from 1 species
GACAGAGGGGGCAAGCGUUGCUCGGAAUUACUGGGCGUAAAGGGCGCGUAGGCGGGAUGGCAAGUCGGUCGUGAAAUCCCUCGGCUCAACCGAGGAACGUCGAUCGAUACUGCUGUUCUUGAGGAUUGCAGAGGAGACUGGAAUUCCCGGUGUAGCGGUGAAAUGUGUAGAGAUCGGGAGGAACACCGGUGGCGAAGGCGGGUCUCUGGGCCGAUACUGACACUGAGGAGCGAAAGCCAGGGGAGCAAACGGG